UCAAGCCAACUUUGAAACACAUUUUUCCAAGACCCAGAUUGGGGUUGAAUGAGGUCAGAGCCCAGGAGAGGGCACUUGCUCCCCACCCCCUUUCCUCCCUGUCCGCCCCAUCCCGCGGCUGCCUGAGGAUGGAGCUCGUAAGGGCUUUAAAUUACACACCGUGUGAGUGAGUCGCUACUACCCCCCCCCCCCCCCGUAUCCACCCCAAUCAACAGGACAGAUUGAACAAGAUGAAGUAAGAGAGAAACCGCAGGCUCCUGUUCCAAGAAUGCCGGCUUGAGCCACACCAUCCCAUCUCUGCUCUCUGCCCAGGGUUUAUAGCAAGCUCCUCCUGAAAUGGACUCCCGUCCUCUGGAAAGUGCCCCGUGGGAAAGGACCCAGCCAAGCAUCUCUCUGCAAGGGACAAAGCCAACUUAAGUACUUCCGUUUUCUACUUGGCUUCUUCAAAUACUACUGGUCCCAUCCACUUAAAAAAAAAACUGAUACUGGUCUGUUGAGCGGGUGUCUGUUGGAGGACUGUGACAAUGCCCUGGACUGUGGUAAGAGGAGGUAGAAAUGGGGAAAAGCUCCCCAAGACCCUUGCUGCAGGCUGGAGGACUGAAUCAAGAGGACACAAGGAGAUCCGAUCCCCAGGCCCUCUCAGGGCUCUCUUCCUACUCAGAAUGACAACUUCUGCCAGAUACUGUGGCUCUUCAAGUCCACCCCUUCAUCUGCAAACAGUUGGCCAAAAGACAGAGAUAUUCACUUGCUGCUACCGACCCUUUACAGAUAGCCUUCAUUAUGAAAGCUGUCGUUUGUAACCUGAUUUGGGUCUAAGGCACAUUUAAAUGUACCU